rnacentral:rRNA from 1 species
AGUGAACGCUGGCGGUAGACCUAACACAUGCAACUCGAACGGCAGCACAGUAAGAGCUUGCUCUUACGGGUGGCGAGUGGCGGACGGGUGAGGAAUACAUCGGAAUCUACUUUUUCGUGGGGGAUAACGUAGGGAAACUUACGCUAAUACCGCAUACGACCUACGGGUGAAAGCAGGGGAUCUUCGGACCUUGCGCGAUUGAAUGAGCCGAUGUCGGAUUAGCUAGUUGGCGGGGUAAAGGCCCACCAAGGCGACGAUCCGUAGCUGGUCUGAGAGGAUGAUCAGCCACACUGGAACUGAGACACGGUCCAGACGCCUAAGGGAGGCAGCAGUGGGGAAUAGUGGACAAUGGGCGCAAGCCUGAUCCAGCCAGACCGCGUGGGUGAAGAAGGCCUUCGGGUUGGAAAGCCCUUUUGUUGGGAAAGAAAAGCAGCAGGUUAAUACCCCGCUGUUCUGACGGUACCCAAAGAAUAAGCACCGGCUAACUUCGUG